GACGAACGCUGGCGGCGUGCUUAACACAUGCAAGUCGAACGGAAAGGCCCUGCUUGCAGGGUACUCGAGUGGCGAACGGGUGAGUAACACGUGGGUGAUCUGCCCUGCACUUCGGGAUAAGCCUUGGAAACUGGGUCUAAUACCGGAUAGGAGCCAUUUUUAGUGUGAUGGUUGGAAAGUUUUUUCGGUGUCGGGUGAGCUCGCGGCCUAUCAGCUUGUUGGUGGGGUAAUGGCCUACCAAGGCGGCGACGGGUAGCCGGCCUGAGAGGGUGGACGGCCACAUUGGGACUGAGAUGCGGCCCAGGCUCCUACGGGAGGCAGCAGUGGGGAAUAUUGCACGAUGGGCGCAAGCCUGAUGCAGCGACGCCGCGUGGGGGAUGACGGCCUUCAGGUUGUAAACUCCUUUCGCUAGGGACGAAGCAUUUUGUGACGGUACCUAGAUAAGAAGCACCGGCUAACUACGUG
rnacentral:rRNA from 1 species